AUCCCUGAAGCGCUAUAGAUAGCGCGUUGGGUUACUAAUCCAAAGGAAUUGGGUUCGAAUCUCACCUGGGAUG